UCUGAGCUUGUUGGAGAAGGUAAAGUGUGAGUUUGUGUCUCUGUAACACCAGCAGUCUAUUUUACAGGAUAUUGGUGGGGCAAAUGCAGAUGGCAGAAGGACUGCAGCAACCUGAAAAAUGCUGUUUGUCAUCCAAGCUUGAAUGGAACUCCAUGGAAGGCAGGCAGCAAACUUGUCACCACUCUCCCCUCCAGACUUGCAAGGGCUUGCUAUGAGGCAGAGGUAGCACUGAGCUCCUCCAGAAAAGACUAUACAGAACCUCCUGUUCAGCAUGGGGCAUUGUUUAUAUAGACAAUAGGGUGGCUCUGAGACCAUACAAAGAAGAUCCAAAGCUGCAUUCAAGGAUUAGAGUAAAUCUGUUGGAUUUCUUCCUCCUCUUCCCUUUCUAUGAUCUGCUGGAGUCCCUGCUGGUAUUUUGGAUAACUAGAAUUUUGUCACUGACCUGGUAAUGUCCACAGAGACCUAACCUUUGUUAUUAGCCCUCCUGAAUGUAAGUGCCAAAAUCUAUGUGUUUGCCUUAUCUCAUCAAACUGGAACCAAAUUCUGGUGUCAGCACAUUGCUGCCACAUCACUCAGUCAGUCCCCUUCAAGGCUAUAAUGAAGGGCAAUAGCAGCCAUGGACAAUACUUGUGGUGCAAGGUGCAAAGGUUCUUUGAUAAAAGGAUUCCUUCCUGAGUAUGUGACUAGGGGAUUUCAGCAAAAACCCUGAGAGCAAACAAGCUGAAUCACAUAGUUCUUUUAUAGCACAGAGAAUUACUGAUGUGUUAGUAGGAUAAAUCAGAUGUCAGCUCUCCCAGAGCACCAGAUUUGGCCAGGCAUCUUAUUUUCUCUGCUAAGUUUGAUGUUGUGUUUUUAAAAUUUAUUUACUUAUUUAUUACAUUUUCUUUCUUUGUCCUGUAGUGAGAGGAAAGGUCUGCAAACUGAACCAUACCUGCAUGCUUAUAUCAAUCUCAUGGUCCUACAAGCAGAGAGUCUGUAAGGUGAACUGAGCCAUAACUACAGGAGCAAGAAAUUUGUAUUGGUUUGCCUUCUAAAGGAACAGUCAGCUAUGGGACCUGUGAAGCACUUACUGUUAUGCCUCUGAGUUUAAGGAAAGUCCAGGCUGUUGGUUUUAUUUUUUAGGGAGAAUCUUUCUGUAUUUGUAUGCACACA